rnacentral:rRNA from 1 species
GUUAGGAAUAUUGGACAAUGGGCGCAAGCCUGAUCCAGCCAUGCCGCGUGAGUGAUGAAGGCCUUCGGGUUGUAAAGCUCUUUAGCCGAUGAUUAUAAUGACUGUAGUCGGAAAAUAAGCCCCGGCUAACUUCGUGCCAGCAGCCGCGGUAAUACGAAGGGGGCGAGCGUUAUUCGGAAUCACUGGGCGUACAGCGUGCGUAGGCGGCUUUGCAAGUUGGGAGUGAAAGCCCAGGGCUCAACCCUGGAAUUGCUCUCAAAACUGCAAGGCUCGAAUUCGGGAGAGGAUAGCGGAAUUGUCAGUGUAGCAGUGAAAUGCGUAGAUAUUGACAGGAACACCAGUGGCGUAAGCGGCUAUCUGGACCGAUAUUGACGCUGAGGCACGAAAGCGUGGGGAUCAAACAGGAUUAGAUACCCUAGUAGUCC